rnacentral:rRNA from 1 species
AACGAACGCUGGCGGCAUGCCUAACACAUGCAAGUCGAACGGGAUCCAGGCUUCGGCCUGGUGAGAGUGGCGGACGGGUGAGUAACACGUGGGAACCUGCCUUUUGGUUCGGGAUAACCGCGGGAAACUGCGGCUAAUACCGGAUGCUCCCGAGAGGGGAAAGAUUUAUCGCCAGAAGAGGGGCCCGCGUCCGAUUAGGUAGUUGGUGAGGUAAUGGCUCACCAAGCCGACGAUCGGUAGCUGGUCUGAGAGGAUGAUCAGCCACACUGGGACUGAGAUACGGCCCAGACUCCUACGGGAGGCAGCAGUGGGGAAUAUUGGACAAUGGGGGCAACCCUGAUCCAGCAAUGCCGCGUGAGUGAUGAAGGCCUUAGGGUUGUAAAGCUCUUUUACCCGGGAUGAUAAUGACAGUACCGGGAGAAUAAGCCCCGGCUAACUCCGUGCCAGCAGCCGCGGUAAU